rnacentral:misc_RNA from 1 species
GAUGAAGAACGCAGCGAAAUGCGAUACGUAAUGUGAAUUGCAGAAUUCAGUGAAUCAUCGAGUCUUUGAACGCACAUUGCGCCCCCUGGUAUUCCGGGGGGCAUGCCUGUCCGAGCGUCAUUGCUGCCCUCAAGCACGGCUUGUGUGUUGGGCCUCCGCCCCCCGGCUCCCGGGGGGCGGGCCCGAAAGGCAGCGGCGGCACCGCGUCCGGUCCUCGAGCGUAUGGGGCUUCGUCACCCGCUCCGUAGGCCCGGCCGGCGCCCGCCGGCGACCCCCCUCAAGCGUUCCAGGUUGACCUCGGAUCAGGUAGGGAUACCCGCUGAACUUAAGCAUAUCAAUAAGCGGAGGA